UUUCCAUCGUUCUGGUAGAGAUCAGUUCAAUAACUCUUAUUUAUCCAACAGGCCGCAAACUCAACAGAACACCGGUUUCCAAAGCAACGGGACAACAGGCUCGGGGAAGAUGGUUUUCAUCACAGAGGACCUGGUCCGCCGCCGAGCUGAACACAACGAGUUUGAAAUCUUCUCACUGGAGGAAGUUUCUCUUCAUCAGCAGGACAUCGAGAAGAUCGAACACAUUGACAGGUGGUGCCGCGAACUGAAGAUCCUGUACCUGCAAAACAACCUCAUCCCCAGAAUUGAGAACCUUGGUCGUCUGAAGAAGCUGGAAUAUUUGAAUCUGGCUUUGAACAACAUUGAAGUAAUUGAGAACCUGGAAGGCUGCGAGAGCCUCCAGAAGUUAGACCUGACGGUGAACUUUGUUGGUGUUCUGACUAGUGUGGAGUCUCUGAAACACAACAUCCACCUGAGAGAGUUGUUCCUGGUGGGGAACCCCUGCAUCGAGUAUGAGGGCUACAGGCAGUACGUUGUGGCAGCGCUGCCCCAGCUGCAGUGGCUCGACGGGACAGAGAUCUACUGCUCUGAGAGGAUUGGAGCUUCACAGGGUCUGGAAGAGGUGAGGAGACGAGUUGUGGAGCAAGAGAUGGAGUACCAGAGGAGGAGAAGGAAGAAGAAAGAGGAGGUGCAGAGUAAAGAAGCAGGAGAGGAGAAGCAGAGGAAGCUAGGCUUCAAUGCCCACUGCUCACAGGAGGACCAAGAGCAGGUCGAGGAAGUGGAGCGAGCGUUCUGGCACACACCUUGUUCUUUCACCCCUGAGUCUCGUCUGCAGGCUCACCGUCACCUUGAGGAGCAGAGGAAGGCGAAGGAGGCAGACAAAGAGAGGAAGCCGAAGUCCCCAAAGACACUGAUCACAGCGGAAGGACGCGUUCUGAAUGUCAACGAGCCCAAGCUGGACUUUUCUCUGACAGAAGACGAAGACAACAACAGGAUCAUUCUGGACCUGGCCGUUUACAGACACAUGGACACCUCCCUGAUGGACGUAGACGUUCAGCCGACAUUCGCCAGGGUUCGUGUCAAAGGAAAGAUAUUUCAGGUGGUUCUGCCCGCUGAAGUGAAGCCUGACAGCUCGACCGCUCAGAGGUCCCAAACCACCGGACACCUGGUUCUGACGAUGCCGCGGGCUGAAGGUGAAAUCAAAGUGACCAAAGCCGUCCAGCGGCCGCGCAGAGCGUCUGCAAGCAGUUGCUCGACGGAGAAGAACAGGUCACACAGAGCAUCUUCAUCAGAUCCAUCAGCACAGACGAUGUCCAGCAUGGAUGCCCUAAAGAUUUCAGAACCAUCAGCCUCUCACAGAGCUGAGCUCCUGCCUGGAGCCGCACCCAUCACCAAACCAUCAUCAUCAUUUCAUGAGACGAAGGCACUUCCUGUCCUUCAGCUGGCCCCAUCAAACACGAUAAAGAGCCACAGACCAAUCCUGCACCUGCAAAUUAACCACCUGAUAAAAAUGCUAAGCUGCUCCAGUCCUGCGGCAAGGUGACAGAUCAGACGCCCUGCAGCCGGCGGGGGGAAAUGGAUCCAAAGGACACCAUCAGGAAGAAUAAAGUUUCUGAGUGGCUGGAAGUGGAUCCCAGCAAGCGCUCAUCUGUUGAUAUUACCAGCAUCAUCAGAGCGAGUCCACUGGAAACAUCCAGAACCGGAACCAGACCACCUGCUGCCUCUGAUGGGUUUGUGGAUGACCCUGAUGUCCCCCCACUCAUAUAAGAUGGAUCAGCUGUUAAGUCCAGCGAUGUCUGAAGGUGUUCAACAGUACCAGGAAUCCUAAACCCGGGGCGGUGCAGAACCACCUCCUCCUCUUCCUCAGCCAUGUCUUAGUAAAACGGGUCAGGACUGCAGCAGGCGGGUCCAGAACCCAUUCCCUCUGUAUUGGUUUUUAGAUGUUCCUGUAAAAUCUCUUCAUCAGAGAACCGUGAUCCAAACUGCACAGAAUCUGCCAGGAUGCUCCUGCUGCUCUCUGGUCUGGAUCAGGAUGAAGCGAGUCGUGUUCCGAUAAUUCCAGAGUCAUGAUGUUGGAUCCAGCUGCCGGAGAACACAGUUUUUACCGUUUGUCCAUUUCACCUUGAGUGGAUUGAAUUCUCCAUUGUACAGAUGUGUGUUGUCUGUUGGACACCAAGGUUCUACCCACGUCCCGUGUCCUGACUCUGAGUUUAUUUCUCCUCCUAGCAGACUCACAUUUCCUUCCAGGCUCUGAUCACAGAGCUAUUCCUCUGAGCCCAGAGGACUUCAGUCCAAACUUUUUCUGAAGCUUAUGCAUUUCUCCUUCAGUCUCCAGCGAGGUCUCCUCUGGGUCAUUACUUCCCUCUGAAUUGUCACGUCAAAAAGCUGAGAGGUUGUGACUCCUCCUCCUCCUCUUCCUCCUCUCUGAGUGCAGCAGGAAUCAUCCUGGCAUCCUGACAGCUUCACUGCUCUUCUAUCAUCCAGCUGUCUAAAUUUGGACUGUUUGCUCCAUCCUCCAACUCUCCAACAUCACAAAAAUGCUACAUAAGCAUGCUGUGUUUCUGUCUUCAUGCAGUUUGUAGCUUUGGUUUCAGACUUUUGGUUUCAUUAAACUUUUAAGAUAUAUUUAACUCUCCAGGCCCACAGAGACUGUUUUCAAUAAUAAAACUGAUGUAAAGGUUU